CCACAUUUUCCCAAUCCAGUCUGUCAUCGAUGGGCUUUUGGGUUGAUUCCAGGUCUUUGCGAUUGUAAACAGUGCUCCAAUGAACAUUCGUGUGCAUGUGUCCUUAUAGUAGAACGAUUUAUAGUCCUUUGGAUAUAUACCCAGUAAUGGGAUUGCUGGGUCAAAUGGAAUUUCUAUUUCUAAGGCCUUGAGGAAUUGCCACACUGUCUUCCACAAUGGUUGAACUAAUUUACACUCCCACCAACAGUGUAAAAGUGUUCUUUUAGCAUCCAUGAUAGUUAGGAUUGCAUGGUUAAAAUGGCGUGUAAUUUUAAUAAGUGCCUUUGGUAGUGUGCAACUCCAGAGCUUCAAAAUUCAUACAUUUAAUGCUCUGUUUAUUUUAUUUUUUCCAUGACACAGCCUCAGGAGGUCCUAAGAACAUGUGCCCCCUCUGCUGUAUUUUGUCAAGAAAUACACGAGAAAUGGUUCUCUUUAUUGCGAGGCUGCAAGGUCACCCAAUGAGAGAGGGGCCAAAUAAGCUGGAACAUCAUCUAAUACACUGA
rnacentral:lncRNA from 1 species